UACAGAGGUCUCAAGCGUUGUUCGGAUUCAUUGGGCGUAAAGGGUGUGUAGGUGGCGCCGUAAGUCGGGUGUGAAAUUUCGGAGCUUAACUCCGAAACUGCAUUCGAUACUGCGGUGCUUUGAGGACUUGAGAGGGAUGCGGAAUUCCAGGUGGAGCGGUGAAAUGCGUAGAGAUCUGGAAGAACACCAAAGGCGAAGGCAGCAUCCUGGGAAGUAUCUGACGCUGAGGAGCGAAAAGCGUGGGGGAGCAAACAGGG
rnacentral:rRNA from 1 species